GAUGAAGAACGCAGUGAAAUGCGAUAAGUAAUGUGAAUUGCAGAAUUCAGUGAACCAUCGAAUCUUUGAACGCACAUUGCGCCCGCCAGUAUUCUGGCGGGCAUGCCUGUCCGAGCGUCAUCUCAACCCUCGAGCCCCCCCGGGGGCUCGGCGUUGGGGACCGGCCCCGCCCCAGGGCGCGCCGCCCCCCAAAUCCAGUGGCGGUCCCGCCGCAGCCUCCCCUGCGCAGUAGCUUGCACACGCGCACCGGAGAGCGGCGCGGCCACGCCGUAAAACCCCCCGACCACGGAGCCCCGGCUCCUGAACGUUGACCUCGGAUCAGGUAGGAAUACCCGCUGAACUUAAGCAUAUCAAUAAGCGGAGGA
rnacentral:misc_RNA from 1 species